rnacentral:rRNA from 1 species
UACAGAGGGGGCAAGCGUUAUUCGGAAUUACUGGGCGUAAAGCGUGCGUAGACGGUUGCGUAAGUCAGAUGUGAAAGCCCCGGGCUCAACCUGGGAAUUGCAUUUGAGACUGCGUAGCUAGGGUGCGGAAGAGGGAAGCGGAAUUUCCGGUGUAGCGGUGAAAUGCGUAGAUAUCGGAAGGAACACCAGUGGCGAAAGCGGCUUCCUGGUCCAGCACCGACGUCAGGCACGAAAGCGUGGGGAGCAAACAGG